CCUCUAGUCUGGGUACCAGUCUGUUUAGAUAACAUUCCUCUAGUCUGGGUACCAGUCCUCUGUCUGGGUACCAGUCCUCUAGUCUGGGUACCAGUCCUCUAGUCUGGGUACCAGUCUGUUUAGAUAACAUUCCUCUAGUCUGGGUACCAGUCCUCUGUCUGGGUACCAGUCCUCUAGUCUGGGUACCAGUCCUCUAGUCUGGGUACCAGUCCUCUAGUCUGGGUACCAUCCUCUAGUCUGGGUACCAGUCCUCUAGUCUGGGUACCAGUCCUCUAGUCUGGGUACCAGUCUGUUUAUUUAUUUUUUGUUGUCUUCUGCCAAAGACUUUGGAAAAGGAAAUGUGUGACAGUGUUGUUAGGUGUCACGGUCUGUUAACUUCAGCACGAAUAAAUAAAAACAGCGUUGAAUUAAUGUCUGAUAAGUGUUGGUACAAUGUGACAUCAGUGGUAGGAACAGUGGUGGGAACAGUGGAACAGGGGUGGGAACAAACAGUGGAACAGUGGUGGGAACAGUGGAACAGUGGUGGGAACAGUGGUGGGAACAGUGGAACAGUGGUGGGAACAGUGGAACAGUGGUGAGAACAGUGGAACAGUGGUGGGAACAGUGGAACAGUGGUGGGAACAGUGGAACAGUGGUGGGAACAGUGGUGGGAACAGUGGAACAGUGGUGGGAACAGUGGAACAGUGUGUCAUACAACAUUUUCAAAAGAACUCUUACAACAACAAAAAAGAUGGCAGUAUUUGAAACUGCAGUAUUUGCAGUCGACUGUCGUAUUUUGGAAGCAGUAAUUGCUGCACUCUAAGUGCAGUUACUGCAGUAAAACAAAGUGUUCUUUUGGACGCUGGCUGUCACGUUCGUCGUAAAGAUGGGACCAAGGCGCAGUGGGAAUGUGAAUACCCAUCUUCUUUAUUUUGAAGAAAACCAAAAUAAACAAAGUUGGCUCAGGUCUACUGCCUGCCCUAGCCAAUCUUCCCGUGUGCCCCCCCCCCAAAAAAAUAUGUAUUGGGGGUGCCUCUCGGGUUUCCUUGCCAGCCGUGUCCCAGCAUAGCAUUUUCUCCAAUAUCCUGCUGCC
rnacentral:lncRNA from 1 species